CUCCUACGGGAGGCAGCAGUAAGGAAUAUUGGACAAUGGACGCAAGUCUGAUCCAGCCAUGCCGCGUGAAGGAUUAAGGCCCUCUGGGUUGUAAACUUCUUUUAUAGGGGACGAAAAAAGGGCUUUCUAGCUCGUCUGACGGUACCCUAUGAAUAAGCACCGGCUAACUCCGUGCCAGCAGCCGCGGUAAUACGGAGGGUGCAAGCGUUAUCCGGAUUCACUGGGUUUAAAGGGUGCGUAGGCGGGCAGUUAAGUCAGUGGUGAAAUCUUCGAGCUCAACUCGGAAACUGCCAUUGAUACUAUCUGUCUUGAAUACUGUGGAGGUGAGCGGAAUAUGUCAUGUAGCGGUGAAAUGCUUAGAUAUGACAUAGAACACCGAUUGCGAAGGCAGCUCGCUACACAAAUAUUGACGCUGAGGCACGAAAGCGUGGGGAUCAAACAGGAUUAGAUACCCUGGUAGUCCACGCCCUAAACUAUGGAUACUCGACAUUUGCGAUACACAGUAAGUGUCUGAGCGAAAGCAUUAAGUAUCCCACCUGGGAAGUACGACCGCAAGGUUGAAACUCAAAGGAAUUGACGGGG
rnacentral:rRNA from 1 species